ACCCGUUGAUCCUGCGGGAGAUUGCUGCUAGUAGGAUUCGAUUUAGCCAUGCAAGUGAAUGGAAUUUAGUUCCAUCGCGAAUCGCUCAGUAACACGUCGAUAAUCUGCCCUUAUGCCCAGAAUAAGCUCGGUAAACUGAGUAUAAUACUGGAUAAGUAAUAGUAUCUGGAAUUGAACUAUUACACAAAGUUUUAACGUAUAAGGAUGAGUUGGCGGCUGAUUAGGUUGUUGGUGGGGUAACGGCCCACCAAGCCUACGAUCAGUAGGGGCCAUGAGAGUGGGAGCCCCGAGAAGGUCACUGAGAAACUGGACCUAGCCCUACGGGGUGCAGCAGGCGCGAAACCUCUUCAAUGCACGACAGUGUGAAAGGGGAAUCCUACGUGCUUAUGCUCAGCAUAGGCUUUUGUAAAGUGUAAACAACUUCACGAAUAAGGGAUGGGAAAGACCGGUGCCAGCAGCCGCGGUAACACCGGCGUCCCAAGUGGCAAUCGUUAUUAUUGGGCCUAAAGCGUUCGUAGCCGGAUAACCAAAUCUUUUGUGAAAUCGCCUGGCUUAACCAGGUGGCGUGCAGAAGAGACUAGUUAUCUAGGGACCGGGAGGAGUUAGAAGUAUGCUGGGGGGAGCGGUAAAAUGUUAUAAUCCUCGGUAGACUACCUGUGGCGAAGGCGUCUAACUAGAACGGAUCCGACGGUGAGGAACGAAGGCUAGGGGAGCAAACCGGAUUAGAUACCCGAGUAGUCCUAGCAGUAAACUCUGUCUGCAAGGUGUUGCGAAUUCUCGUGAUUUCGCAGUAUCGAAGGGAAGCCAUUAAGCAGACCGCCUGGGAAGUACGGUCGCAAGACUGAAACUUAAAGGAAUUGGCGGGGGAGCACCACAAGGGGUGCGGCGUGCGGUUUAAUCUAACUCAACGCAGAAAAUCUCACCAGGGGCGACAGCAAGAUGAAAGUCAGUCUAAAGGGCUUACUGGAUAAGCUGAGAGGUAGUGCAUGGCCGUCGUCAGCUCGUGCCGUAAGGUGUCCUGUUAAGUCAGGCAACGAGCGAGACCUGUAUCCACAAUUACUAGCGGCAUCUUCGGAUGGACCGAGAACAUUGUGGGGACUGCCGGUGAAAACCGGAGGAAGGUGCAGGCUACGGUAGGUCUGUAUGCUCCGAAUCUCCUGGGCUACACGCGCGCAACAAUGGUAAGGACAAUGGGAUACUACCCCGAAAGGGGACGUUAAUCCUCGAAACCUUACCUUAGUACAGAUUGUGGGUUGUAACUCACCCACAUGACGCUGGAAUCCCUAGUAAUCAGAAUUCAUCAUAUUCUGGUGAAUAUGUCCCUGCUCCUUGCACACACCGCCCGUCAAACCACUCGAGCAGUGCUUAAGUGAGUCUAAGCCUAAUUAGUUUAGCCGAACUUGAGUUCAGUGAGAUGGGUUAAGUCGACACAAGGUA
rnacentral:rRNA from 1 species